rnacentral:rRNA from 1 species
GUAUGGGCGCAGGCCUGAACCAGCCAGUAGCGUGAAGGAUGACUGCCCUACCGGUUGUAAACUUCUUUUAUAAAGGAAUAAAGUCGGGUAUGUAUACCCGUUUGCAUGUACUUUAUGAAUAAGGAUCGGCUAACUCCGUGCCAGCAGCCGCGGUAAUACGGAGGAUCCGAGCGUUAUCCGGAUUUAUUGGGUUUAAAGGGAGCGUAGAUGGAUGUUUAAGUCAGUUGUGAAAGUUUGCGGCUCAACCGUAAAAUUGCAGUUGAUACUGGAUAUCUUGAGUGCAGUUGAGGCAGGCGGAAUUCGUGGUGUAGCGGUGAAAUGCUUAGAUAUCACGAAGAACUCCGAUUGCGAAGGCAGCUCACUAGACUGUUACUGACACUGAUGCUCGAAAGUGUGGGUAUCAAACAGGAUUAGAUACCCUGGUAGUCCAAGGGCGAAUUC